rnacentral:lncRNA from 1 species
UCUUUGGGGAACAUUUUAUCUUCAUCCUGCAACACACAUCCACCUUAGUAGCCUCUCCUCAACUAAUGUGGGAACUACAACUCACAGAGGAAAAGUGAACUGGAUCAAGGCCACUCUGAUCGAAGCUGGUCACGUCCCACAUCUGUGAGACAGUAGAGCCAGUUCUCUGCCCGGUGAAGCAAGCCUGUAAAAGCAUUUCUUUAACAAGUGACUUCAGACUUCAUGUAAACUCAACUGCAUACUGGAAGUCACUGUGAUUCUAAUUUUAUGAAGAAUUAUCAAGUGGAGCAUAUUUAACAAAGUGUGUGGGUUUUUUUUUUCUUACACAGUUUUCUUUUUUCUUUUUUUCAAGGUGCCUUCUUCUAAUUCAUCUUGUAUGGCUUCACCACUGUGGCUGUCAAGAUGGCAUGCAAAAUUAUCCCUCUUUCCAGGAAUAUUUGACUGUAUCUGGGGCUGUAAAUGAAAGGAAACAAGAAUCUAUCAAUUUUUGCAACUAACGUUGUCAUCCAAGCAAUUGUCCCCUGCUCCUUCAUGCCCAUGCUAUCCCUGGCUCCCUCCCUCCUUCAUUGCAGAGCUGCAAUGGGGCAGAUGACACAGGUGAUCAGAGCUCACCAAACACUAGGAACAGAAGACCAAACACUAGGAACAGAAGACCAUACCCAUAAAAGUCAAAGAGCUAACAACACAUGGGCAUCAGAAUAGGACUGAGAAAAAAAAAACUCACAGUAAAGAGGCUGUUUUAAAUUAGUCCAGUGCACAUUGUGCACGUCUUGGAAAACCUUCUUGAAAUGGACACUUCCUGGUCUGCCAUUUUGCUGUUUGCUGUCUGAUUCUCACCAUACCCCCAAUUCCAUGUAUAGCUCAUAAACUCUUUCUUGAUUUUCCCAUCUUGGCUUUCUACUUGGAGCUGGCUUCUGUGCUACAUUCUUCUGUGUAUCUGCCCAUAAAGGGGGAAAAUGUGUACCCCUAAGCCAGAGAACUAAAUUCUCUUUUCAGGAAAAUCCAAAGACCCCCAAUAGCAAUGUAGUAAGUCUUCUGUUGAUGCGCUUUUGUCUCCACACCUCUCUGAAGGCUCCUACACGUUGGUUAGCUUCAUUCUCCAGGAAGUAGAGAGCCUUGUAAGACCUCCCCGGGGUCCUUCAGUAGAUCCCCUCUCUCAGUACUCACAAGUAUGAGAGAUCACUAACUCUCAUCAUUUUAAGAUAAUAAAGUCAGGUGUUGUUCUUCAUGGAAAACAGAAGUUGGGGCCAACUAGUGACUUUGUGCGACAUCAGAUCUGGACAACAGUUCUAUAAAGGACCCGUACAAAGGUCAGCUCUCCCUGUAUUCACUCCUGGUCUCCUGGUACUAAAAACAAGUUUGAGCAGGAUCUAUUUCACAGGACCUUGCUCACUCAGAGGCCACUGGGCAGAUGACUUCAUCAUCUUCCAUGUAGAUAUUAAAUUUCAAAAUCCCUAAGCAAUCAUAUGGGAAUACUUAUUUUGAGUCUCAUAAUUCAUUGCACAUACAUUCAUAAUCACAAAGAGAAAUAAAAAAAAAACACUUUUUGGUGUGAACUGAGCUUGGUAUGUUUUGAGCACUAUCUGAUUCACAAGAGUUGCUUAAAAUAGAUGAAUGCAAAAUGAUGUACCCUCCAGAGGGAUUUUCAUACUGGCUGGCUGUAUAGCUGUUUGAUAAAUGUGACUUGCUUUAGCAUUUUUGGGGUCAGAUUGAGAGGGCUCAACAUAUACCUAUCCUCAUGACAUGGGCCCUCCUCUUGACCAGGAGUGUGAAAAAAUGUGCCCACAGCCUCCAUCUUAAUGUUUAACUUGCCUUGGGAUCCUUCCCUCAAUACUGGGGAUAGUCUAACGUGACAUAUCUGCAAUUAAAGGGUGAUGUCAGUUGACACCAUGCCACAGAGACCAGUUAAACAUUGUUCCUUAGAAAAUAAGAGCAGGAUUCAAUCCUAAAAAACUUUGGUAGUAGUCCAGAGACUGAGUCAUUUGGCGCACUCGGAGCGUCUCAGCUAGCUGGAACAUGUCAAGAAGCACAAGCUCCCUUUACACCAUGGAAGCAGGAAAGCAAGAAGUAGGAAAAUGUAAUUUCAAAAUAACAUACUGUUCUAGGUAUCUACUAUUUCCCUCACAAUUCAGGUCUAAUCUUAUUCAUGGCUAUCAACCCCCGGUACUGCAAUUCACCACCUCUGCUGGGUGGAAAAAGUGAAGAGCUGCACGUCUAUAUUCUUUCCAUGUUCAACACAAUGUUAGGUGCUUGCAUUUUUUUUUCUCGUCUUUGCUUCUUGCAAAAGAGCUGGGAAUUGAAAGAUUAAAUCGACUUUAAUUUAUGGGCACCUCCCAUUUUGAUGGGAAUACUUGGAAUGUACUAUAUACUUGUAAAAUAAAUGACUUAAUGGAAACUUAAAAGUGUACCCAAGUGACUCUGUGCUCAUGUUUGCUGGAUUGAAAUUUCAUGCAAAAAUAAAGAUAUCUAGUGUGGAAGAGAGAUACUACGGCUACCCCUCUAGGGGGAGAAUGCAGUUAAC